rnacentral:rRNA from 1 species
UACGUAGGGGGCGAGCGUUGUCCGGAUUUAUUGGGCGUAAAGAGCUCGUAGGCGGCUUGGCAAGUCGGGUGUGAAACCUCCAGGCUCAACCUGGAGACGCCACUCGAUACUGCCAUGGCUAGAGUCCGGUAGGGGACCACGGAAUUCCUGGUGUAGCGGUGAAAUGCGUAGAUAUCUGGAGGAACACCGGUGGCGAAGGCGGCAUCCUGGACCGACACUGACACUGAGGACGCGAAAGCCAGGGGAGACAACGGGG